rnacentral:rRNA from 1 species
UUCCGGUUGAUCCCGCCGGACCCCACUGCUAUCGGGAUGGGACUAAGACAUGCUAGUUAAGCGCCUUCCAGCUAUGUGGGAGGUGCAGCGUACAGCUCAGUAACACGUGGCUAACCUGCCCUUGGGACGAGAAUAACCCCGGGAAACUGGGGCUAAUUCCCGAUAGGUGACGAACUCUGGAAUGAGUUGUUGCCUAAAAGGUGUCGGAUCAUGCUUUCGGCAUCGCCUAAGGAUGGGGCCGCGUCCGAUCAGGUUGUUGGUGAGGUAAUGGCUCACCAAGCCUUUUACCGGUGCGGGCCGUGAGAGCGGGAGCCCGGAGAUGGGCACUGAGACAAGGGCCCAGGUCCUACGGGGCGCAGCAGUCGCGAAAACUUUGCAAUACACGGAAGUGUGACAGGGUCAUCCCGAGUGCCGACCGCUGAGGUUGGCUUUUACCCAGUCUAGAAAGCUGGGGGAAUAAGGAGAGGGCGAGUCUGGUGUCAGCCGCCGCGGUAAUACCAGCUCUCCGAGUGGUGUGGACGUUUAUUGGGCCUAAAGCAUCCGUAGCUGGCUGGGCAAGUCCCCUGUUAAAUCCACCGAUUUAAUCGUUGGUGUGCGGGGGAUACUGCUCGGCUAGGGGACGAGAGAGGCAAGCGGUAUUCCCGGGGUAGGGGUGAAAUCCUAUAAUCCCGAGAAGACCACCAGUGGCGAAGGCUGCUUGCUAGAACGCGCCCGACGGUGAGGGAUGAAAGCUGGGGGAGCGAACCGGAUUAGAUACCCGGGUAGUCCCAGCUGUAAACGAUGCAGACUAGGUGUUUGGACGGCCACGUGCCGUUCUAGUGCCGCAGGGAAGCUGUUAAGUCUGCCGCCUGGGGAGUACGAUCGCAAGAUUGAAACUUAAAGGAAUUGGCGGGGGAGCACCACAAGGGGUGAAGCUUGCGGUUUAAUUGGAGUCAACGCCGGGA